rnacentral:rRNA from 1 species
GGGUGCCUUCAUACCAGCACUAAAUCACCGA